AGAAUAUUAAAGACAGCAACGGUCCCUACCUUAAAGAGUUCCUGUGAAGAUUAAAGGAAUUAAUAUGUAUCAAGUGCUUGGAAGAGAGACUGGCACAGAGCAGGCACGAGAAAUCCCGAGAAGGGUGACAUCAGUGCUGGUGGUGGUGAUGACAAUGAAGAUGAAUGUAUUCGCAUCCCAGCCCCUGUCCUCCCAUCACAGGGAAUUUACAACAGCCCCCUAAGCUGCACCCUUGAGCCAGGCGUCAUCACCGCUGGUCUGGACUUGCGCUGCAGCCCCGGAAAUCCCCUCCCUCUGUCCGCGCAGCUGUUCACGCCACUCGACUGCUGCCUCCAGAGCUUUCCUUCAGUCAUGGCAAUGGCGGUGAAUGUUAAUCCAUCACUUGCUGUGAGCCAGAC